rnacentral:lncRNA from 1 species
UCCUUUCUCCAUGUCUACUAAAUGGAGUCUUAGUCAUUUUUCCCAUAAGAUAAGAUUCACAAGUACCUAAUGAUUCAUAAUCAUAAGGAUCAAAGAAUUCUUCUUUGUAUAACUUGUUAAUCCUUGUCUCACUUAUAUGACCAAGUCAACAAUACCAAAGUAAAGUAUUAUUCAACUCUUCUCUCUUUCACUUUUUACUUUCAUUAAUAUGAAAAAUAUUGUCAUUAGAUAGAAUUAGAAGAUCAUUAUUAAUAACGCCAUGACAGAUAAUUUCAUUAGAAAAAGAAAUUGAGCAACUAUUGCUCUUUCCAUUUAUUUCAUAACCUCAUUGCAAUAGUAACGAUACAGAAAUAAUAUUUCUAAUGAUCUUAGGCAUAUAAUAACAGUUUUUUAGCUCUAAGAUAUUUCCAGAAGGUAACUUUAACAUAUAUGUCCCUACAGCCUCUGCUUGGAUUGACUCUCCUCCAGCACCGUAGAGCUCGAAGUCACCCUUCUUCAGCACUCUAAUAUUCUGCAGCCCCUGCAAUGACAUGCAGAUAUGAGAACCGCAGGCAGUAUCCAAUACCCAAGAGUCUGAAUUGGAAGAACUUAAUGACAAAAUUGUAUGUAUCUCAUACAUACCUUUUGGUGCAUCGCUUGCA